AAAUGAAUUGACGGGGAUCCGCACAAGUGGUGGAGCAUGUGGUUUAAUUCGAUGGUAAGCGAGGCACCUCACCAAGGUUUGAAACUACGCUGCAAGCCCCAGAAAUGGGGAAGCUUUCGAAGGUGCGUAGCAGGUGCUGCAUGGUUGUCGUCAGCUCGUGUCGUAAGAUGUUCUGUUAAGUCAGAAAACGAGCGCAACCCUUGUAAAGUGUUUCAUGUGUCACUUUAGACUGCCCAGCUCAGAGUUUGGAAUCAGGAGCAAUCCCGAUUCUGAGUUUUGAGCUGGGAGGAAGGAGAGGAUGACGUCAAAUCAGCAUGGCCCUUUGACACCUUGGGCGACACACGUGCUACAAUGGUCGGGUAUAAAGGGUAGCCAACCCGUAAGGGGGAGCCAAUCCCAAAAAACCGAUCUCAGUUCGGAUUGAGGUCUGCAACUCGACCUCAUGAAGCUGGAAUCACUAGUAAUCGCGUAUCAGCCAUGGCGCGGUGAAUACGUUCUCGGAUCUUGUACACACCGCCCGU
rnacentral:rRNA from 1 species